rnacentral:lncRNA from 1 species
AAUGAGACUGUGAUAGAUUCUAUAACAUUAAAACUGAUGUAGGUUAAAGGUGUAAUGAGUAUUCAUUAUAUUGUAUGUUGUUAUUGGAUCAGUGAGACAGAAUCUGGAAAUUACAGUUUUUAUUUUUACAGUAAAUUACAAUUACAAGAAAUGGUAAAUAAUCUACUUGUGAAGUAUUCCCUUUUUGCUUCCAAUUCUCAGGUGUCCUACAUUAGUCAAGAUUGUGAAGAAAUUCCAGAAUUCCUAGGAAGAAAAUAUGGACAUAUGGCAAAAAGGCUAGAUCUUAGCUUCAACUUGUUAAGUGACACUUCAACGGGAACUAGAUGUGAUCUGGUAUUUCCUCAUGACGGCUGUUGUGCUACAAAAACAAAGGACUGCAGAAAUAACUGUUGCCUGAGGACAAGGAGCUUAACUGAAAGGAAGAAUCUGCGCUAACCCUGGAGAUAUUGUCACUGUCUUUUCUUGUCUGUUUUGUCAAAAAAAUUUUCUUUUCUCCUUAACCCAGUGCACGAGAUUCCCAGCAUCUAACUGCAGAUGUAGAGAACUUGAUUGGUUUUGCUUACCAUCACCAAGUAAGGAGGGCCUCUGUCCUCCAGUAUUGAACAUACAUGUUGAGUGAUUAUGCCAUAAAUAGGUAGCUGGCAUUUUGCAUGUGAUAUCUAUUUGAAGAUUGUUUUUAUGCAUUGCUUGUUUGCUUUAUGUUGUUUUGUGUGAUUUGUGCUAUUUUUGUGAUCUUGCGUUUUACAAAAAUCAUCUUGGAGAUAAUUUUUCACUUAAAAAAAGAAAAAAAAAACCCACAACCCAAACCCUUAGCUAGUGUAAGUGUAGAGAAGUAUCAGAAAUGCUGAACGACCAUGCAUUUUUCUCAGGCUAAAAGGAGCCAGCAUGUCAAACCAGACAUGUUAUACAGUAAUUACACUGUUUCUAAGGUCAUAGUUAAUGCAGUGUUGUAGCUCAGCUGCAGAAUUUAUCCAGGAACUGAUGCUGCCAGUCAUGUGAAGUUUUGGCUUUUUAUAAGUUUUUGUUUUAUUUCUUUUGGUCUUUCUUUCUUGACCAUGCUUCCUUGAGUGAGUUGCUUAAUGGAAGAGUUGGAAGAUAAGUUGACUAUCUUUUCUGUAUAAUUUGUUCUCCCUUUUAACUGAUGUACCCACUGAGCCCAUAAAUGGUAGCAGUAAAUGUGCUUCAUAUUAUAUGCUAUAAGAGUUUGUUUAAUUUUAAGACUGUUACAUUGCUGAUGUUUGCUGGAACUUCUGCUUUGCUGCAAAAUGAUAUAAAUACACUUUUAAAAGAACACAAAUAAAUCAGAUGAGGAGAUACA